CCUACGGGAGGCAGCAGUGGGGAAUAUUGCACAAUGGGGGAAACCCUGAUGCAGCGACGCCGCGUGAGCGAAGAAGUAUCUCGGUAUGUAAAGCUCUAUCAGCAGGGAAGAAAAUGACGGUACCUGACUAAGAAGCCCCGGCUAACUAAGUGCCAGCAGCCGCGGUAAUACGUAGGGGGCAAGCGUUAUCCGGAUUUAAUGGGUGUAAAGGGAGAGCAGGCGGCGCGGUAAGUCUGAGGUGAAAGCCCGGGGAUCAACACCGGGAAUGAAUUGGAAACGGUCGUGCUUGAGUGUCGUAGGGGCAAGUGGAAUUCCUAGUGUAGCGGUGAAAUGCGUAGAUAUUAGGAGGAACACCAGUGGCGAAGGCGGCUUGCUGGACGACAACUGACGCUGAGGCUCGAAAGCGUGGGGAGCAAACAGGAUUAGAUACCCUUGUAGUC
rnacentral:rRNA from 1 species